rnacentral:rRNA from 1 species
UACAGAGGGUGCAAGCGUUGUUCGGAAUUAUUGGGCGUAAAGGGUGCGUAGGUGGUCCGUUAAGUCAGUUGUGAAAUCCCCGGGCUCAACUCGGGAACUGCUUCUGAUACUGGCGGACUUGAGGCCAGUAGGGGUCACUAGAACUGACGGUGGAGCGGUGAAAUGCGUAGAUAUCGUCAGGAAUGCCGGUGGUGAAGACGGGUGACUGGGCUGGUUCUGACAUUGAGGCACGAAAGCGUGGGGAGCGAACGGG